UACGUAGGGGGCGAGCGUUGUCCGGAUUUACUGGGCGUAAAGGGCGCGCAGGCGGUUGGGCUAGUUUGGGGUGACAGUGCUCGGCUCAACCGGGCGAGGGCGUGCCAAACUGGGUCACUAGAAACAGGCAGAGGCAAGUGGAAUUCGGGGUGUAGUGGUGAAAUGCGUAGAGAUCCCGAGGAACUCCUGUGGCGAAGGCGACUUGCUGGGCCUGCUUUGACACUCAGACGCGAAAGCAUGGGGAGCGAACGGG
rnacentral:rRNA from 1 species